rnacentral:rRNA from 1 species
UACGUAGGGGGCAAGCGUUGUCCGGAUUUAUUGGGCGUAAAGAGCGUGUAGGCGGCCGUACAGGUCAGCUGUGAAAACUCGAGGCUCAACCUCGAGACGUCGGUUGAAACCGUACGGCUAGAGUCCGGAAGAGGAGAGUGGAAUUCCCGGUGUAGCGGUGAAAUGCGCAGAUAUCGGGAAGAACACCCGUGGCGAAGGCGGCCUUCUGGACCAAUACUGACGCUCAUGCACGAAAGCGUGGGGAGCAAACAGG